CUUUUUUAAGGAUUUUCCCGUGGGGGGGGGGCAUUUUUUGAAAAGGGACCUUUCCGUGAGAUAAUAUAUUAGAGGGGGAUAGCAAUGGCUGAAGGCCACGUGUGUGGCCAAUAUACCACGCAUGAAUGGGGGGGUCUGGGGUACUCCCCCAGAAAAUUUUUGAAAUUUGAAUCCCGGAAAUGUCAUUUCCUGCAUUCUGAGCAUCCAAAUUUGGUCCAAAAUUUAUGCUAACUAUACUUGUAUUUGAAAUAAAUAAAGAAAAAAACGCACAAAAAGUAAAAAAAAAAUAACCAUCAUUUAUCAUUACUUAUUAGAGGAGGAUAACAAUGGUCAGGUGUGUGGGGGUGUAUUCCCCCAGAAAAUUUUUGAAAUUUGAAGCAUGGAAAUGCCAUUUCCUGCAUUCUGAGCAUCCAAAUUUGCUCUAAAAUUUAUGCUAACUAUACUUGUAUUUGAAGUAAAAGAUGGAAAAAAUGCGCAAAAAGUAAAAAAGAAUAUUAACUGUAAUUUAUCGGCUUAUUAGAGGGAUAAUCCCCAGAAAAUUUUUGAAAUUUGAAACCCGGAAAUGCUAUUUCCUGCAUUCUGAGCAUCCAAAAAAUAAAAAAAAUUAUUAACAAUAAUUUAGAAAAAAGUAACAAUUUAAAUCGAUUUUGUUAAACAAGGACAAGGGAUGAAGCCUAAAACUUACUUUCCGUUUAUGUAUUUGUUAAUCUUCGCUGGUUUGUUUGUAUAAUUUUAGGGAAAAGGGACUUUUCCUGGGGGGGCGGCAAAAUGUGAUUUUGUGGGGGGGGGGGCACAAGGGGGGACUCAUUUGCCCCCCCCCCUCCCAGCUUGUGUGUUAAAAAAGGCCCUGAGCAACACAAAGUGUCGCCAAACCCCAGUAAGGUCUAUAUUCUAGGGGUGGAGCACUAGAGCCGCGAGUGGGAGUCUAGAGAGCUGAAAACAAAGUAUCCCUGGAAAAAUUUGAAAAAAAUCAUGAUUUUUAGCUUCGAAAAAACGUUUUUGAAGUUGUCAUAUCAAUGGAUUUGGCCUGUCCGAUUGUCUGUUGAGACUUGAGAGAGUUAAAGUUAAAUGAAGCUGUAAAAGUGUAAACCCAAUAGGCCAAUACACAAUAUGCUUUUACUUUUAUAAAAUCAUUGACAUUGUGUCGUUUGAAUCUGAGUACAAUUUAUGAUGCAACUCCGAUGUAAAUAAUAUUUGGGACGUAAAGAUUAAAUCUAGGCAAGACUAUUUCCUAAAAGAAUUAAAACUAAAAAUAAUGUUCGUAAAAUUUCCAAACGUUCUUUGCAAGCAAGCUAUUUGCAUGACAAGGCACUGCAAACUCUAUUCAGGGGGAGAUAAUAGAGUUUCAAAACUUUACAAUUGGUCCAAUAAACCAGUGAAUGCAAGCGAGGAGCAAUUAGUUUCAGAGUAUUGCGUCUUUUUCUAUUUGAGUGUACUCCUACGUUUAUUUUGUAUCAUCAACACUCUGCACGUUGGAGUGGACUAUUUAAUUAUUUUUUAUUAUGCCGAAUAUUGGGG
rnacentral:lncRNA from 1 species